rnacentral:rRNA from 2 species
CUAGCAUAUCAUAGCGGAGGAAAAGAAACUAACAAGGAUUCCCCUAGUAACUGCGAGUGAAGCGGGAAAAGCUCAAAUUUAAAAUCUGGCAGUCUUUGGCUGUCCGAAUUGUAUUCUGGAGAAGCGUUUUCCGCGCUGGACCGUGUACAAGUCUCUUGGAAUAGAGCGUCAUAGAGGGUGAGAAUCCCGUCUUUGACACGGACUACCAGUGCUUUGUGAUGCGCUCUCAAAGAGUCGAGUUGUUUGGGAAUGCAGCUCAAAAUGGGUGGUGAAUUCCAUCUAAAGCUAAAUAUUGGCGAGAGACCGAUAGCGAACAAGUACCGUGAGGGAAAGAUGAAAAGCACUUUGGAAAGAGAGUUAAACAGUACGUGAAAUUGCUGAAAGGGAAACGCUUGAAGUCAGUCGCGUCAUUCAGAACUCAGCCUGGCUUUUGCCUGGUGUACUUUCUGGUUGACGGGCCAGCAUCAGUUUUGACCGCUGGAAAAAGGCCAUGGGAAUGUGGCACCUUCGGGUGUGUUAUAGCCCGUGGUCAUAUACAGCGGUUGGGACUGAGGACCGCAGCACGCCUUUAUGGUUGGGGUUCGCCCACAUUCGUGCUUAGGAUGCUGGCGUAAUGGCUUUAAACGACCCGUCUUGAAACACGGACCAAGGAGUCUAACAUGCCUGCGAGUGUUUGGGUGGAAAACCCGAGCGCACAAUGAAAGUGAAAGUUGGGAUCCCUGUCGUGGGGAGCACCGACGCCCGGACCAGACCUUUUGUGACGGAUCCGCGGUAGAGCAUGUAUGUUGGGACCCGAAAGAUGGUGAACUAUGCCUGAAUAGGGUGAAGCCAGAGGAAACUCUGGUGGAGGCUCGUAGCGAUUCUGACGUGCAAAUCGAUCGUCAAAUUUGGGUAUAGGGGCGAA